GAGCGCCGGAUGCGGGAGAUCCGCACGUCCGGUGCGACGAGCGGGGGCUGGAAACGGAGCUUCAUCGCUACCGCGC
rnacentral:ncRNA from 1 species